rnacentral:rRNA from 1 species
UGGGGAAUAUUGCACAAUGGGGGAAACCCUGAUGCAGCGACGCCGCGUGAGCGAUGAAGUAUUUCGGUAUGUAAAGCUCUAUCAGCAGGGAAGAAAAUGACGGUACCUGACUAAGAAGCCCCGGCUAACUACGUGCCAGCAGCCGCGGUAAUACGUAGGGGGCAAGCGUUAUCCGGAUUUACUGGGUGUAAAGGGAGCGUAGACGGCAUGGCAAGUCUGAUGUGAAAACCCUGGGCUCAACCGAGGGAGUGCAUUGGAAACUGUCAGGCUGGAGUGCCGGAGAGGUAAGCGGAAUUCCUAGUGUAGCGGUGAAAUGCGUAGAUAUUAGGAGGAACACCAGUGGCGAAGGCGGCUUACUGGACGGUAACUGACGUUGAGGCUCGAAAGCGUGGGGAGCAAACAGGAUUAGAUACCCUGGUAGU